GACGAGGGAUCCUAGCGUUGCUCGGAAUCAUUGGGCGUAAAGCGGGUGUAGGUGGCUUGACAAGUCAGGUGUGAAAGCCCAGGGCUCAACCCUGGAAGUGCAUUUGAAACUGUCGAGCUUGAGUGCUAGAGAGGUUAUUAGAAUACCUGGUGUAGUGGUGAAAUACGUAGAUAUCAGGUGGAACACCGGAGGCGAAGGCGGAUAACUGGCUAGACACUGACACUGAGACCCGAA
rnacentral:rRNA from 1 species